rnacentral:rRNA from 1 species
AUUGAACGCUGGCGGCAGGCCUAACACAUGCAAGUCGAGCGGAUGAAGGGAGCUUGCUCCUGGAUUCAGCGGCGGACGGGUGAGUAAUGCCUAGGAAUCUGCCUGGUAGUGGGGGAUAACGUCCGGAAACGGGCGCUAAUACCGCAUACGUCCUGAGGGAGAAAGUGGGGGAUCUUCGGACCUCACGCUAUCAGAUGGGCCUAGGUCGGAUUAGCUAGUUGGUGGGGUAAAGGCCUACCAAGGCGACGAUCCGUAACUGGUCUGAGAGGAUGAUCAGUCACACUGGAACUGAGACACGGUCCAGACUCCUACGGGAGGCAGCAGUGGGGAAUAUUGGACAAUGGGCGAAAGCCUGAUCCAGCAAUGCCGCGUGUGUGAAGAAGGUCUUCGGAUUGUAAAGCACUUUAAGUUGGGAGGAAGGGCAGUAAGUUAAUACCUUGCUGUUUUGACGUUACCAACAGAAUAAGCACCGGCUAACUUCGUG